UUUCCGUAGGUGAACCUGCGGAAGGAUCAUUACCGAGUGCGGGCUUUGCCUUCGAGCAGCCCAACCUCCCACCCGUGACUAUCGUACCGUACGUUGCUUCGGCGCGGCCGCCGCGCCCGCCGGAGACACUUUGAAUGCUGUUCUAUUGAAAGGGAAUUGCAGUCUGAGUCGACCAACGAAAAAAUUGGUUAAAACUUUCAACAACGGAUCUCUUGGUUCCG
rnacentral:misc_RNA from 1 species